rnacentral:rRNA from 1 species
GACGAACGCUGGCGGCGUGCUUAAUACAUGCAAGUCGAACGGAAAGGUCCUGCUUUUGCGCGUUGCUCGAUUGGCGAACGCGUGAGUAACACGUGAGUAACCUGUCCUUGUCUUUGGGAUAAAUUCAGGAAACUGGGGCUAAUAUCGGAUAGGAUAUCUUGCUCCACGGGGGGGGUUGGUAAAAUUCGGCGGUUGGGGAUGGACUCGCGGCUUAUCAGCUUGUUGGUGGGGUAGUGGCUUACCAGGGCUUUGACGGGUAGCCGGCCUGGGAGGGUGACCGGCCACAUUGGGACUGAGGUACGGCCCAGACUCCUACGGGAGGCAGCAGUGGGGAAUAUUGCACAGUGGGCGGAAGCCUGAUGCAGCAACGCCGCGUGCGGGAUGACCGCUUUCGGGUUGUAAACAGCUUUCGCCUGUGACGAAGCGUGAGUGACGGUAAUGGGUAAAGAAGCACCGGCUAACUACGUG